AUCCAACUGGUAAUAUCAUACAUAUAAGCAUUGAAAUCUGCAUUUACUAAAAAAAAAAUCCACCCUGCAGUUCACAUCCACCGCUGUUUCAAAUUUUAAACACAGAUGAAACUAUAGCAGCUAGUUAGAAGGACAGCACCGAAGCUACCAAGUUCGCUUUGCCUUUAUAGUUGCUGUGUCCUCAUGUCUGUUUCAAAUCGACUGUGUAAUGGCAGGAAUGGUCAUCGCAGGUCAUAGAGACCAGAACUGUGGCAAAAGCCGGCUUAGGCCAUUCCGGUCCCUGAAGACUUCAUUCCAGGCAAACGGAAGCGAGUAAACCUCAUUUCUCAGUGAGGUUCUGUGAACUGAGCUUACUCAUUCCAAAUGAACGUAUUCAUUCUACUCCUUUAGAAUGAGUGAGCUGAGGUUCACAGACACAUUUCAACAGCAACUGCAGCAAUUGCUUAAAUCUUGGACCAACGACUAGGGGAAGGAAUAUUGUGUCGCUGACGAU